rnacentral:rRNA from 1 species
UGCAGUCGAGCGGAUGACAGGAGCUUGCUCCUGAAUUCAGCGGCGGACGGGUGAGUAAUGCCUAGGAAUCUGCCUGGUAGUGGGGGACAACGUUUCGAAAGGAACGCUAAUACCGCAUACGUCCUACGGGAGAAAGCAGGGGACCUUCGGGCCUUGCGCUAUCAGAUGAGCCUAGGUCGGAUUAGCUAGUUGGUGAGGUAAUGGCUCACCAAGGCGACGAUCCGUAACUGGUCUGAGAGGAUGAUCAGUCACACUGGAACUGAGACACGGUCCAGACUCCUACGGGAGGCAGCAGUGGGGAAUAUUGGACAAUGGGCGAAAGCCUGAUCCAGCCAUGCCGCGUGUGUGAAGAAGGUCUUCGGAUUGUAAAGCACUUUAAGUUGGGAGGAAGGGCAGUAACUUAAUACGUUGCUGUUUUGACGUUACCGACAGAAUAAGCACCGGCUAACUCUGUGCCAGCAGCCGCGGUAAUACAGAGGGUG